rnacentral:rRNA from 1 species
CAAUGGCCAUUCAAAAGUUUCAAACACACAAGAACCGUCCUGCAGACCACAAUUCGACACAAGUGCCGAUUCACAAUAUGGGCUAUUGGCGCUUCACUCGCCGUUACUGGACCAAUCCUAGUUAGUUUCUUUUCCUCCGCUUAAUUAUAUGCUUAAAUUCAGCGGGUCUCCUUGUUUGAGCUGAGAUCAGGGUAGAUGUGCGUAGAAAUGCCUUUACGGUUGAUGCCGUUUGGACCGAACUUUUGCACAGAGAAGGAUCCGACAUGAGCCAGAAGUCGCCACUACUAGUGCAGCUCGGCCCAAAAUGUUGUCACAACAAUUUCGGCAGGAGCAGCUUAUCACACUGACGCUCAGGACAAGGCAGGAUUGCAAACCAAUUGAAAAAAAGUUGCUUUGGUCCCCUCCAUAUCCAAAGGCUGCCGCGCCCACGAAGAUUCCUUCGUGGACCCGACAAGUUGGGUGCCACUGACACUCA